AUGGGGAGAGACUUGUCAGCCAUGUCUGUUUGUCGCUGCACUCUUUCCAAUAUGUCUAGGCACAGGCUAGAGGAGGUUUCAGCAACAUGGAGGCUACAAGCAGUCCCUCCCAAGGCAUGUCCAAAAACUAUGCCGCUAAUAAUUGCACUGCCAAAAGUACGGCAACUAGAAGAGCUCUCUUUAAAGCCUGGUUGGGACAACUGCGACUUUCCGGGUAUUGUUAGGCUACAACUUCUACCAGCCCUAGCUGGCAGAGCUGAUAAUGUGGGACUACGGCAGGUCCUAUCCAACAAUAUCUGGAAGGUCACCGUUGCCAUUCCUGUUUUAAAGCAAGCUUUAUACUCUCAUCAAACGGCUUGUAGUGAUUUACUGCUGAAUUUCAGUAGUAGUAUAAUGGCAGAGGGAUGUAGCCCACAGAGCCACAGUUGUCGUUGCCUUGUUUAUAGGUCAUGCAUCAACUCUCAACUCCUGUCUUGACACAUUUAAAAAUGAAUACCGGUUUAUUUCCUGUAAUAUAUUUAAAAGAUGAAUCAUAGCCGUAAUAUUGGAGUACUCCUUUGGUCCUAGUACUACUGCUUUGAGAGGGGUCUGAUCCUGUUGACCUGUAUGCUAGUUGGUAAGCUUGCUUCUGUUGUGUGGGUAAAGUGUCCACUACAGAGAAUAGGAGAAUAUGGUAACGCUGUCACAAUCAACAUGUUCCAAAUCAGGUACUUUUUCUUGCUCUCUGCACCAAUGGAAGAAUGUUGCUCCCUCCUCCACCAAAAACAUAUCCCUAAGUUCCUUAAAGUAGUCAUUCUGUCUUUCAAAUCUGCCUUACUAAAACAUUUGUGUAGAUUAGCCUUAACUGUAUAGUUUCUAACAGCAUUUUUCUUCACUUCAAAUACAUAGGAAGAAAGCUUCAGAAACCUACCAAUAUGUAACAAGGAAUAUAUUGCAAUGCUCUGAAGAUUUAUUUAGUGUUCUUCUGGACUCUAGUAAUAAGUAAGCAACACUAGUGCCUUGGGCUUUUUGUUCUGAAAUGACAGCUCUCUGAAGGAGAUGGUUGCCUAAAAGCAGUUAGUAUCACCAGGAGCGUCGGUAUCACCAACCUUGCCCAUCAUUACAUGUUAGGUUAAUGCAACCGAUAAUUCUUUUAAGCUUAUUAACAGUUGGUGUCAUUUUAGGUUAACUACCUACAUGAAGCAGCAGAGGGAUAUAACUUUCUCUUGUCUUGUAUAGUUUAAGUCCUUCUCUGUGCAGCUCCAACACUUUAUUCAAAACAACUACCUGUUCUGUUAGAUCCUCAGAAAAAUAGGAAUAUUCAGUGUAGCUGCCCUUACCCCUAUGGGCCUAUCUAUACCCACCAGUGCAGCUAUUUGCCUGCUUUCUCAUCAGGCCAAGUGAACAGAUCUUGUUUAGUAACACAGCUUUGCAGAUUGGUGCGUGACCCUAUGGACCAGAGCAUGACAGGCCCUCCUGUCUUCCACUGCCUCCCAGA
rnacentral:lncRNA from 1 species